UACGGAGGGUGCAAGCGUUAUCCGGAUUCACUGGGUUUAAAGGGUGCGUAGGAGGGCAGGUAAGUCAGUGGUGAAAUCCCCGAGCUUAACUUGGGAACUGCCGUUGAUACUAUCUGUCUUGAAUAUCGUGGAGGUGAGCGGAAUAUGUCAUGUAGCGGUGAAAUGACUUAGAUAUGACAUAGAACACCAAUUGCGAAGCAGCUCGCUACACGAAUGAUUGACUCUGAGGCACGAAAGCGUGGGGAUCAAACAGG
rnacentral:rRNA from 1 species